rnacentral:rRNA from 1 species
UACGUAGGGGGCUAGCGUUGUCCGGAAUCAUUGGGCGUAAAGAGCGUGUAGGCGGCCCGGUAAGUCCGCUGUGAAAGUCGGGGGCUCAACCCUCGAAUGCCGGUGGAUACUGUCGGGCUAGAGUCCGGAAGAGGAGAGUGGAAUUCCUGGUGUAGCGGUGAAAUGCGCAGAUAUCAGGAAGAACACCCGUGGCGAAGGCGGCUCUCUGGGACGGUACUGACGCUGAGACGCGAAAGCGUGGGGAGCGAACAGG